rnacentral:rRNA from 1 species
GUAGGUGGCAAGCGUUGUCCGGAAUUAUGGGCGUAAAGCGCGCGCAGGCGGUCCUUUAAGUCUGAUGUGAAAGCCCACGGCUCAACCGUGGAGGGUCAUUGGAAACUGGGGGACUUGAGUACAGAAGAGGAAAGCGGAAUUCCAAGUGUAGCGGUGAAAUGCGUAGAGAUUUGGAGGAACACCAGUGGCGAAGGCGGCUUUCUGGUCUGUAACUGACGCUGAGGCGCGAAAGCGUGGGGAGCAAACAGGAUCAGAUACCCUGGUAGUCCACGCCGUAAACGAUGAGUGCUAAGUGUUAGGGGGUUUCCCGCCCCUUAGUGCUGCAGCUAACGCAUUAAGCACUCCGCCUGGGGAGUACGGCCGCAAGGCUG